GAAAUCGUGAGGCUCAACCUCAUACCCAUUACCAAAACUGCACUGACUAGAGCAUGAGAGAGGUGGCUGGAAUUCCCUGUGUAGGAGUGAAAUCCGUAGAUAUAGGGAGGAACACCGAUGGCGUAGGCAGGCCACUGGCUCAUUGCUGACGCUCAGGCACGAAAGCGUGGGGAGCGACCGGGAUUAGAUACCCCGUUAGUCCACGCCGUAAACGAUGGAUGCUAGCUGUAAGACGUAUCGACCCGUCUUGUAGCGAAGCUAACGCGUUAAGCAUCCCGCCUGUGGAGUACGAGCGCAAGCUUAAAACAUAAAGGAAUUGACGGGGACCCGCACAAGCGGUGGAGUGUGUUCUUUAAUUCGAUGGUAAGCGAAGAACCUUACCCAGGUUUGACAUCCUUGGAAUUUCUCCGAAAGGAGAAAGUGCUUUUAGAGCCAAGUGACAGGUGUUGCAUGGCCGUCGUCAGCUCGUGUCGUGAGAUGUUUGGUUAAGUCCAUCAACGAGCGCAACCCUUGUGAAUAGUUGAAUUUUUCUAUUCAGACUGCCCUGGUAACAGGGAGGAAGGGGGGGAUGAUGUCAGGUCAGUAUUACCCUUACAUCUGGGGCUAGAAACACACUACAAUGGCCGGUACAAAGGGCAGCCAAGUCGCGAGACGGAGCAAAUCCCAUCAAAGCCGGUCUCAGUUCGGAUAGCAGGCUGAAACUCGCCUGCUUGAAGCUGGAAUCGCUAGUAACGGUAGGUCAGCAUACUACCGUGAAUACGUUCCCGGGUCUUGUACACACCGCCCGUCAAACCAUGAAAGUCACCAAUACCUGACGUCUUAGCUAGACUAG
rnacentral:rRNA from 1 species